rnacentral:tRNA from 1 species
AGCUACGUAGCUCAAUAGGUUAGAGCACAGCACUCAUAACGCUGAGGUAAUGGGUUCAAAUCCCAUCGUAGCUACUA